UGACAGCAAGUGAUCCCCAUGUGACAGAUCUUGACUUGCCUUUCCCUGCUAUUCCUUCUCAUCCAUUAACCAUUCACACAAGCUCCCAGUUAGACUAUGGAAGAGCAUUAAUUGGCAAAGUCACACUCCUUACCAUCUGACAAUAUUGAUGUUACCCCUUCUAUUUUCAGCACACUGACUUUCCAGAGUCGCCUCCAAGUUAUAAUGGACAACGUCUCUCCUGCUGCCAGAGCCCAGAGAGGAAUAAACCAAGACCACCAGCUAAGACAUUAUGUAAUUGCCAUGGAUAUGAGUAUUGAAUGCCCUCAGGAAUUACCUACAAAGGAAACUGGAAACUCCAUGGCAUGUCUCUGUCAUCUUUUCCUCCAGAUGGUGCCUCCAAACCACUUCUGAAUGGGUUUGUGCAAAGCAGAACAUGUAAGUACUUCUGCUGGGUUUGAUCUAAGCAUCUCUAAUUUUGGUGAAGAUUUUAUUUCUGGAUGCU
rnacentral:lncRNA from 1 species